rnacentral:rRNA from 1 species
UCAGACGAUGCGUCAUGCAUAUCAAUAAGCGGAGGAAAAGAAACUAACAAGGAUUCCCUUAGUAACGGCGAGUGAAGCGGGAAGAGCUCAAAUUUGAAAUCUUCAAGGUUUUACCUUGACGAAUUGUAGUUUAAAGAAGUGUUUUCUGUUAGAGAGUUGGUAAAAGUUCUUUGGAAUAGGACAUCGAUAGAGGGUGAGAAUCCCGUAUUUGACCAUUCUUUCUAGCUGUGUGAUACACUUUCAAAGAGUCGGAUUGUUUGGGAAUGCAGUCCAAAAUGGGUGGUAAAUUUCAUCUAAAGCUAAAUAUUGGCGAGAGACCGAUAGCGAACAAGUACCGUGAGGGAAAGAUGAAAAGAACUUUGAAAAGAGAGUUAAACAGUACGUGAAAUUGUCAAAAGGGAAGCGUUUGACACCAGUGUUGUUUUCUCGAAAAUCAAUUAAAAGGAGUUGGAUUUUGUGUUGUAUUGACCUUAACAGGCUUGCUUCACUCUUUUCCUGCUUUUUUUAAUGCACUUUUCGUUUAACAAGUCAACAUCAGUUUCUUUUGUUGUAAAAGGGUCAUUGGAAGGUGGCUUUCUCUUCGGAGAAAGUGUUUAUAGCCUUUGGCCUCUGCAAUCGGAGAGAUUGAGGUCUGCAGCGUAGAUCCUUCGGGGUUAGAUACAUUUGUGCUAAGUUAUAGCCUUUCAUAGACAACUUGUUGACUAUGAUUUAGUCAUUGUAGCUUACUCGCUUAUGCUAUUUUACCUACGCUUAGGAUGUUGAUAUGCAUGACUGAUAU